rnacentral:rRNA from 1 species
UACGUAGGCAGCGAGCGUUGUUCGGAGUUACUGGGCGUAAAGAGUGCGUAGGCGGUUUUCUAAGUUUGGUGUGAAAUCUCCCGGCUUAACUGGGAGGGUGCGCCGAAGACUGGAAGGCUUGAGUAUGGGAGAGGUAAGCGGAAUUCCUGGUGUAGCGGUGAAAUGCGUAGAUAUCAGGAGGAGCACCGGUGGCGAAGGCGGUUCUCUGGGAAUGUCCUGACGCUGAGGAGCGAAAGUGUGGGGAGCGAACAGG